GAUGAACGCUGGCGGCGUGCCUAAUACAUGCAAGUCGAGCGAACAGACGAGGAGCUUGCUCCUCUGACGUUAGCGGCGGACGGGAGAGUAACACGUGGAUAACCUACCUAUAUGACUGGGAUAACUUCGGGAAACCGGCGCUAAUACCGGAUAAUAUAUUGAACCGCAUGGGUCAAUAGUGAAAGACGGUUUUGCUGUCACUUAUAGAUGGAUCCGCGCCGCAUUAGCGAGUUGGUAAGGUAACGGCUUACCAAGGCAACGAUGCGUAGCCGACCGGAGAGGGUGAUCGGCCACCCUGGAACUGGGACACGGUCCAGACUCCUACGGGAGGCAGCAGUAGGGAAUCUUCCGCAAUGGGCGAAAGCCUGACGGAGCAACGCCGCGUGAGUGAUGACGGUCUUCGGUUCGUAAAACUCUGUUAUUAGGGAAGAACAAAUGUGUAAGUAACUAUGCACGUCUUGACGGUACCUAAUCAGAAAGCCACGGCUAACUACGUG
rnacentral:rRNA from 1 species